rnacentral:rRNA from 1 species
CCUACGGGAGGCAGCAGUGGGGAAUAUUGGGCAAUGGGCGAAAGCCUGACCCAGCGACGCCGCGUGAGGGACGAAGGCCUUCGGGUUGUAAACCUCUUUCAGCAGGGAAGAAGCGAAAGUGACGGUACCUGCAGAAGAAGCACCGGCUAACUACGUGCCAGCAGCCGCGGUAAUACGUAGGGUGCAAGCGUUGUCCGGAAUUAUUGGGCGUAAAGAGCUCGUAGGUGGUUUGCCACGUCGGAUGUGAAAACCUGAGGCUUAACCUCAGGCCUGCAUUCGAUACGGGCAGACUAGAGUGUGGUAGGGGAGACUGGAAUUCCUGGUGUAGCGGUGAAAUGCGCAGAUAUCAGGAGGAACACCGGUGGCGAAGGCGGGUCUCUGGGCCAUAACUGACACUGAGGAGCGAAAGCGUGGGGAGCAAACAGGAUUAGAUACCCUGGUAGUCCACGCCGUAAACGGUGGGCACUAGAUGUGGGGACCUUCCACGGUCUCUGCGUCGCNGCUACGCAUAGUCGCCCGCCGUCGGGUGGACGGCCGCGAGGACGUAAACUUAAAGUAGAAGUUGUACGGCGUUGAGUACGUUGCCGACGGCGACGACGAGGGGAGGAGG